UACGUAGGCAGCAAGCGUUGUUCGGAGUUACUGGGCGUAAAGGGUGCGUAGGCGGCCUUAUAAGUAUGGUGUGAAAUCUCCCGGCUUAACUGGGAGGGUGCGCUAUAGACUGUGGGGCUAGAGUGUGGGAGAGGAAAGUGGAAUUCCUGGUGUAGCGGUGAAAUGCGUAGAUAUCGGGAGGAAUACCUAUGGCGAAAGCAGGCUUCUGGGCCGUCACUGACGCUGAUCUGCGAAAGCUAGGGGAGCAAACAGG
rnacentral:rRNA from 1 species